rnacentral:rRNA from 1 species
GACGAACGCUGGCGGCGUGCUUAACACAUGCAAGUCGAACGGUAAGGCCCUUCGGGGUACACGAGUGGCGAACGGGUGAGUAACACGUGGGUGAUCUGCCCUGCACUUCGGGAUAAGCCUGGGAAACUGGGUCUAAUACCGGAUAGGACUCCGGACUGCAUGGUCCGGGGUGGAAAGCUUUUGCGGUGUGGGAUGGGCCCGCGGCCUAUCAGCUUGUUGGUGGGGUGAUGGCCUACCAAGGCGACGACGGGUAGCCGGCCUGAGAGGGUGACCGGCCACACUGGGACUGAGAUACGGCCCAGACUCCUACGGGAGGCAGCAGUGGGGAAUAUUGCACAAUGGGCGCAAGCCUGAUGCAGCGACGCCGCGUGAGGGAUGACGGCCUUCGGGUUGUAAACCUCUUUCAGCAUCGACGAAGCGAAAGUGACGGUAGGUGCAGAAGAAGGACCGGCCAACUACGUGCCAGCAGCCGCGGUAA